CGGGGGGAGCAAGCGUUGUUCGGAUUUACUGGGCGUAAAGGGCGCGUAGGCGGCCACCGCAAGUCGACUGUGAAAUCUCCGGGCUUAACCCGGAAAGGUCAGCCGAUACUGCGGGGCUAGAGUGCAGAAGGGGCAACUGGAAUUCUCGGUGUAGCGGUGAAAUGCGUAGAUAUCGAGAGGAACACCUGCGGCGAAGGCGGGUUGCUGGGCUGACACUGACGCUGUUGCGCGAAAGCUAGGGGAGCGAACGGGAUUAGAUACCCCGGUAGUCCUAGCCUUAAACGAUGAAUGCUUGGUGUCUGGGGUUUUAUAGUCCCCGGGUGCCGUCGCUAACGCUUUAAGCAUUCCGCCUGGGGAGUACGGUCGCAAGACUG
rnacentral:rRNA from 1 species